AUGGCUCAGGAUGAACGCUAGCUACAGGCUUAACACAUGCAAGUCGAGGGGCAGCAUGAUCGAAGCUUGCUUUGAUUGAUGGCGACCGGCGCACGGGUGAGUAACGCGUAUCCAACCUUCCCUGUAGUAGAGAAUAGCCCGGCGAAAGUCGGAUUAAUGCUCUAUGUUGUAUUUCGAUGACAUCUGAAGAAUACCAAAGGUUUACCGCUAUAGGAUGGGGAUGCGUCUGAUUAGGUUGUUGGCGGGGUAACGGCCCACCAAGCCUACGAUCAGUAGGGGUUCUGAGAGGAAGGUCCCCCACAUUGGAACUGAGACACGGUCCAAACUCCUACGGGAGGCAGCAGUGAGGAAUAUUGGUCAAUGGACGGAAGUCUGAACCAGCCAAGUAAGCGUGCAGGAUGACGGCCCUAUGGGUUGUAAACUGCUUUUAUAUAGGGAUAAAGUCGGGGACGUGUCCCCGUUUGUAGGUACUGUAUGAAUAAGGACCGGCUAAUUCCGUGCCAGCCGCCGC
rnacentral:rRNA from 1 species